rnacentral:rRNA from 1 species
ACUCCUACGGGAGGCAGCAGUGGGGAAUAUUGGACAAUGGGCGAAAGCCUGAUCCAGCAAUACCGCGUGAAUGAUGAAGGCCUUAGGGUUGUAAAGUUCUUUGGUGGGGAAGAUGAUGACGGUACCCACAGAAAAGCCCGCUGAACUCAUGUGCCAGCCAGCCGCGGGUAAUACAGAGGGUGCGAGCGUUAAUCGGAAUUACUGGGCGUAAAGCGAGUGUAGGUGGCUCAUUAAGUCACAUGUGAAAUCCCGGCUGAUACCUGGGAACUGCAUGUGAUACUGGUGGUGCUAGAAUAUGUGAGAGGGAAGUAGAAUUCCAGGUGUAGCGGUGAAAUGCGUAGAGAUCUGAAGGAAUACCGGUGGCGAAGGCGGCCCCUG